UUCGUAGGUGGCUCGCUAAGUCACACGUGAAAUCCCUCAGCUUAACUGGGGAACUGCGUGUGAGACUGGCAAGCUCGAGUGCAGGAGAGGAAUGCGGAAUUCCAGGUGUAGCGGUGAAAUGCGUAGAUAUCUGGAGGAACACCGGUGGCGAAGGCGGCAUUCUGGACUGCAACUGACACUGAAGAACGAAAGCCAGGGGAGCAAACGGGAUUAGAUACCCCGGUAGUCCUGGCCCUAAACGAUGAAUGCUUGGUGUGGCGGGUAUCGAUCCCUGCCGUGCCGUAGUUAACGCGUUAAGCAUUCCGCCUGGGGAGUACGGUCGCAAGGCUGAA
rnacentral:rRNA from 1 species